rnacentral:tRNA from 5 species
GCCCCGGUGGCGGAAUCGGUAGACGCAGCGGAUUCAAAAUCCGCCGCCGAAAGGUGUGCCGGUUCGAGUCCGGCCCGGGGCACCA